rnacentral:rRNA from 1 species
AGAUGGUGACAUGGAGGCAAAUCCCAAAAAUAAACGUCCCAGUUCGGAUUGCAGCCUGCAACUCGGCUGCAUGAAGCUGGAAUCGCUAGUAAUCGCGGAUCAGAAUGCCGCGGUGAAUACGUUCCCGGGCCUUGUACACACCGCCCGUCACACCAUGGGAGUCGGUAACACCCGAAGUCGGUAGCCUAACCGUAAGGAGGGCGCCGCCGAAGGUGGGAUUGAUGACUGGGGUGAAGUCGUAACAAGGUAAC